AUUGAACGCUGGCGGCAUGCUUUACACAUGCAAGUCGAACGGUAACAGGCCGCAAGGUGCUGACGAGUGGCGAACGGGGGAGUAAUGCAUCUGAACGUGCCCAGUCGUGGGGGAUAACUACUCGAGAGACUAGCUAAUAUCGCAUACGAUCUAUGGAUGAAAGCGGGGGGCCGUAAGGCCUCUCACGAUUUGAGCUGCCGAUGUCAGAUUAGGUAGUUGGUGGGGUAAAGGCUCACCAAGCCAACGAGCUGUAGCUGGUCUGAGAGGAGGACCAGCCACACUGGAACUGAGACACGGUCCAGACUCCUACGGGAGGCAGCAGUGGGGAAUUUUGGACAAUGGGCGCAAGCCUGAUCCAGCCAUGCCGCGUGCAGGAAGAAGGCCUUCGGAUUGUAAACUGCUUUUGUACGGAACGAAAGGCAUCUAGUUAAUACCCGGCGCUAAUGACGGUACCGUAAGAAUAAGCACCGGCUAACUACGUG
rnacentral:rRNA from 1 species